rnacentral:lncRNA from 1 species
UCCACUUUCACCAAACUCUAGCCGCUGACGACACCUCCAUCUUCGUUCGAGUGUUCUCCGUCAAGUCGAGAUCACCACCAUUAUAGCCAUCUCCUCCAUUUUGUUGACUAAGAACUAAGCUGUAAGGAAAAGUUUCAUCCGCUGCACGCCGUUAGUCGUAUUUUUACUUCAUCUGAAGCCUAGCGCCUUUGCGCCGCUUGUUCCUUCAUAUAACGCAAUCCCAGUUGCGUCAGUCUCCUUCAUCAACAUUCAUUUCACGGGUAUGUGGUUGAUGUUUGAUAUUCACAACUGUAUCUAUAUAUAAAUUAUAAUUUAAAACUAAAAAGAUAUUACUCUUUACAUUUUUUUUCUUUUUGACUUUGAAGGUUUUGAGGAAAAAAUCAUUUGAUUUGCGGUGGAUGUAUGAAGACUUUGAAGGUUUUUAGGAGGACAAAGUUUGAAGCUCCAAACUUUUCUGCAACUGAUCGAAUACUUUGAAGAUUUGGUGGAAUAUAGUAAAAGUGGAAGAUAGUGAAGGUGGAUUCUUUUCAACUUUAAAUACCUAAACGUGCACAAUUUCAACAAGAAUUUGUUAUUUAAGUAGAUGGUAUUUGAGUUUUAGGUGAACAAUAGUAUUUAGGACUGUUUUUGAAUUGACUAGGGGCAUUUAAGACAUUGUUUCAUUUAUUUAUUUUUCAAUUUUGCUAUUCUAACAAUUUAAAAAUAAAAUUUCUA